rnacentral:rRNA from 1 species
GACGGAGGGUGCUAGCGUUGUUCGGAAUGACUGGGCGUAAAGGGCGCGUAGGCGGCCGCUUGCGUCGGAUGUGAAAGCCCGGGGCUCAACCCCGGGUCGGCCGUCGAUACUCUCGUGCUUGAGCACUGUAGAGGCAGGUGGAAUUCCGGGUGUAGCGGUGGAAUGCGUAGAGAUCCGGAAGAACACCGGUGGCGAAGGCGGCCUGCUGGGCAGUAGCUGACGCUGAGGCGCGACAGCGUGGGGAGCAAACAGG